ACAAGUUGCUGAGAAACAAAAUGCAGAGGAGUAACUGGGCAUUUGCCUUCAGUCGUGGUGGUGAGUGGACUGGCGGUUAAGCAUGUUAUUUUCAUGAACGUAUUUUGGAUUUUCAUUAUCAUCUGUGAACAUACCAUCAGUUUGUAGCCAAGAGAGUGCGUAGGCAGAGCCCGCCUCGUCCAGCUUUGAUAUAGGAGAGAGCGUCGACGUUGUCCGCCUCAUCCAGAACAGGAGAGUGCGUAGGCAGAGCCCGCCUCGUCCAGCUUUGAUAUAGGAGAGAGCGUCGACGUUGUCCGCCUCAUCCAGAACAGGAGAGUGCGUAGGCAGAGCCCGCCUCGUCCAGCUUUGAUAUAGGAGAGAGCGUCGACGUUGUCCGCCUCAUCCAGAACAGGUGAGUCUACUGGCCCUUGUCUAUGCAGAAAUUUCUGAGCCAGCCUCUAGCUAGCAUGGAUCUCUUGAGGUCCGCGAUCGCAUAGGCUGUCUGGAGGUCUGCGGGUGGAUCGUCUGCCCAGUUGCACCUUGAAAAGUGUGUGUGGGGCAUGUGGUAGGGGUGUUCGCUUAAGGGGCGGACGGCUGGGUUUCUACCAAUUGCCAAUUGGCAGAAUUGAAGGGUGGACUUUGAAUACCAUUUUGAAGGCGGGAAAUGGCCUCUGUGCCCCAUUCAGAGAGGGCAGAGCCACGCAAAUGACUCUGCUUUGCUAGGCGAGACCUGUUGGGAGCAUUGGAAGAGCCAGGGCGCCUCUGCUCCAUGUCAGUCUUGUCUAGAAUCUUUUUCCGGGAAGCGAGGCAGUGGCGCUGAGGUAGGGGGAAACAGUAGCUGAGAGCACAGGGAGCGCUGGGCUGGUAUCAGCAAACCAGAAACUGGGUGGAUUUGGGCAGGAUUCCUCUGUCGAUUGGAAGGCCUGAAAGUAGGAGCAGGAGAAAUGGAUGGAAAGGAAAGGGAACCAACUGCACAGCAGCAGGUGUCCCAGAGAAACAAGAGCAUGACCUGGAGGAGCAGGUGUCAUGAAAGAGGCUCUCCAGGAGCAGGGCAGUGCUUGGCACAAAGGCAGGGGAAAGCAUUGUGUUUUCAGAGUCGAGUUAGAUCCCAUGUUGCCCGAGGCAAUUGAGCCAGGAGUUAGAGGCAGUGCCAGAUGAGAAAGGGCAGUCAUGAUAUUCAGAUAUAAGAGGCAACACUGUCCGGAAAAUCCCUAAGGGAUCCUUGAAAGCCAUGGGAUUGGGUUCUUGGCAUAGAGGAAAUAAAUAUGAAGGCGUGAAAUUGCAAACUCCUAGGGGCGCUAUGUGCAUGCUCAGAAGUCAGGGAAGAAUUGGUUCCAAGUUCUCUUAGCCAGUUCCCAGGCGAAUUGAUAAAGAGGAAAGAAGGAAAGAGUGAAUCCCUAAAUGAUGGGUCAGCUCCAAAGACAGAUUGUUUCCGACAAUGCCAAGUGCAUCCAUUCUAGCCGAGGAAUGAGCUUGGUCUUCCCUCCUGGUUCGAUGAAGGGAUUUCGGACCCUUUGGUCUGCAAAUGGGGAUAGAAUGGGAGAAAAUGAUUGUGAGGUGAGAAGAAAGGGAAGUUGAGCAGCAAGUGGGGAUAGUGGGACUUCCCUGUUCUCGUCGGGCAGUUCCCUCUGCUGUAGCCAUGAGAAAAAAAGGCAGGGAGGAAUGAUGAACUGUGGUUCACCCGCUGUACGUGGGGAAGCCCCAAACCUGAGAAAGUAUGCUUUGGGACAUGUGCAGACUGUUUCCAUCACCAUGCGGUGAUUGCGUAAGGACAGAAAAGAAAAGCUCACCCAUCUGAAGGAAGCGAUUUGCAACCUGUCUAAAUAAAGCAUCCCUUUGCGUGUCCUGCCCUUGGGCGUGGCAGAUGAGUCCCCGUGUGUGAUGGAGCAGGGAAUGAUGGUAGGCUUUAGGAAAUCCUCAGAAGAUGCAAGGAGAGUGGAGCCCCGGUAUCUCUUCCUACCUGCGGGGCUCUUGGAACGCUGUAACCCACAUCCAAUCGGCGCCUUGGACCUAGAGAGGCCCUCUUCAUGAGCUGGCCCGUCCUUGUUCAAGUAUUGCCUCCACCUAGUGAG